GGAUUCCACGAAGCGCCGGAACUCGCCGCGUUCGGGCGGCGAGUUGACGAGGAAGGGGAUCUCGAGCGGAGCCAGGCGGCUCCCAUUCGGCGGGUGACCCUAGGCCGGUCCGGUCUUGAGGACGCUGCCAAAACCCGGGGGCGACCCCGGGGACAAAAGGCGUCCAGGACGCAAG
rnacentral:ncRNA from 2 species